rnacentral:lncRNA from 1 species
CUCUCCUUAAGAUUUUCACAUAAGCUGUAAGUCUAACAUUUUUCACAGAAUUUAGAAGCCCCACAUAAACUAUAUUACUAACCUUGUAUUUUUACAUUACACAGAUAAAAUGCAACAUUAUUAUUUGUGAAGCAUUGAUAUAUAUGUGUACUCAGAAUCUUGUCUUUGUGAUCAAGUUUGGGGAACAGUUUCUGUCUUUCUUCUGAGUUUUCAGGAUAUAAGAAAAAAAUUAGUUAAAAGUGAUAUAGGGGGUAAAACUAAGGAAUUGAUUGACAAUAGACUCCAGUUGCAGGAUUUCUCACUGUGUUGAAGACACAUUGGUAGCCAUAGGCUGUUUUCUGUAUUUUGGUCGGAUUGUUGUCUCUUUGACAUAUUCCCUAUUUCAAUUAUUAAUUUUAUUUUGACUCCGAAGUUCACAUCUUUUCGAAAGGUUACUUACUCUGUUUAUGAACAUCCUGGUACUUGAGCAAGUAAGAGCAACGUAAAGAAGUAAAAUAAGCUUUUAAUCAGUUCAAUUAUUUCGGAAAAUAGACGUUUAAUUGUUUUUAUUCACGACAAAAUCAGCAAUAAACACCCCUCAAUCAACACAUCCCGCCUAUUUGCACCGAUCCUAUAUGUUCGAUUUCAGAGAAAUAACUCAUACAAUAACAAUUUCUGUCAUCUACCAUUUGUGAUUUUUCCUUUGUAAAUCAGUUACAAUUCCAAAUUUCAUUCAAUCUUUAAUUUUUCAUGAUAAAACAAGAAAGGCUAUAUUGGUUUAAUUGUCAUUUAAGGUCAAUUAGAUAAGGAAUCGUUAGAUAGGUUUGUCAACCAAGUAGGACGUAGGAUUGAUACUUUGAACAUUCAUAUUAUGUGAAAUGUUCUCUAUCUACAACGGUUGUCAACAUUUAAAAGCGAUAUGUUGCACUUUGAAUUUUUUGUAUAUUCAAACUUUUUGGUGACUAUUUUUUUGGCGAACACAAAUUUUAAAUUAAAUCAGAUAAUCCGAUGAUCAUUUUGUUUGGUUGUAUUUUCCCACAUAAAUUCAUAGGAAACUUUUGUAAAAGAUGACAGAAAAAUGACGGACGCUGAUAAAUGAUAAAAGUAAAAUCACAAAAAUACUGAACUCCGAGGAGAACUCAAAACGGAAAGUGAUAAAUCAAAUGGCAAAUUCAAAUGACAAAACACAUCAAAAGAAUGGAAAACAACUGUCAUAUUCUUGACUAAGUACAGCCAUUUUAAAAUGCAGAAAAUGGUUUUAUAGCGCUAAACCUCUCACUUGUACGACAGUUGCAUCAAAUUUAUAAAAAAAGAUUCAGAUCAGCUAAAUAAAACACCAAAGGAGUUGGUUCACUAACUCAUAAUUUUGGCCCUUAAAUUCGUAAACUUUCACUGAGAUGUUGUAGUGAAAACUUGAAUAAAACAUAGGUAAAAAUAUUCAAUUGUUUCAUAAUAAAAAACAUAUUUUCAUUAAUUACAUCAUGAAGACGUCAUAAUAAAGGGAAAUUCGCUAAAUCCUGAUUUUGCUGCAGAGUUCUGCCAUGACAGUUUUCUGAAAACAAACGACAGUGGUACCACCCUUCGCCCAUAUAUAUUUCUAUGGAAAUGAUCUAUUUAUACAAUUGUCUUUACUCUUCGAUAAAAAUUUCAAUGAGCGAUGGGGUGGCGCCACAUACUACAUCAUAAAAAAGUAAAAAAAUUGACAAGUUUCUAGAAAAAUGGACGAAAACUGAAUCUAUUGCUAUUUCAGGAGGAUCGAUUUAUAAAUAUUUAAAUGCAAAUUUCGUUUAAUACUCUUAAUUUCAUACAUUUAGCAAUGUAUACC